UUGAAAUUAACACUAAUUAUUCAAUAGAUUUGACAAGUUGUAAAAUUUUUCCAAUAUUACCUAUACAGGUAUAUAAAUUGGGAGAAAAAUUACAGAAAAAAUAUAUAUAAAAACAAAACAUGACAAAGCCAUCAACCAAUACAAAUUAAAUUAACGUUAAUCGCACGUGCUCUAUGUUAAAAUGGAAAAAAAGACAGCUCCAUUUUAUAAUUUGAUGAAAUGAAAUGGUUCC
rnacentral:lncRNA from 1 species